GCCAUUUGUCGAAAAGAGACAGCGCGGAGCUCCUGCACCAGCCAUCAGCGUGGCGCGUCGCUUAGAAGCGAGGGAGACGCUCCCGUUGAAUUGCAGCGCCAGCGGCGAAGGCGGGAUGGAGGAGGAGGAGGAGGCUGAAAUGAGUAACCAGCAGGAAAAGUCGCAGAAGAAAAAUGCAAUCUUAGUUGAUGGAGUUAUUUUAAAUGGCCCAGUAGCAGAUUCAAAAUCUGGCGAGAAAUUUGUGGAAGAGGUCAGUAAGAUAAUAAUGGAAGAAGUGGUAAAGAAAGCAUCUGAUGCAACUGAAAAGGUGUGUGAAUGGCAAUCUCCUGAACAACUGAGAACUCUUCUUGACUUGGAAUUGAAAGACACAGGAGAGAGUCAUCCCAAACUCUUGCAGUUAUGCCAAGAUGUUAUACAAUUCAGCGUCAAAACCUAUCACCCAAGAUUUUUUAAUCAGCUCUAUGCUGGUAUUGAUUAUUACUCUUUAGCAGCACGUUUCAUUACGGAGGCAUUAAACCCAAGUGUAUAUACCUAUGAAAUUUCUCCAGUAUUUUUACUAGUGGAAGAAGCAGUUCUAAAGAAAAUGAUUGAAUAUAUUGGAUGGGAAGUAGGAGAUGGUAUAUUUAAUCCAGGUGGCUCUGUUUCCAAUAUGUAUGCAAUGAACUUGGCAAGAUAUAAAUAUUUUCCUGACAUAAAAGAAAAAGGCCUUUCAGGGAUACCUCAGUUGGUUCUGUUUACAUCAGAAGAGUGUCACUACUCAGUGAAGAAGGCAGCUUCCUUUUUGGGAAUUGGCACACAAAAUGUUUACUUUGUCAAAAGUGAUGACAGAGGUAAAAUGAUUCCUGAGGAACUGGAGAAACAAGUCCAGCAGGCAAGGAAUGAGGGUUCUGCACCAUUUUUUGUCAGUGCUACAGCUGGUACCACCGUUUUGGGAGCAUUUGAUCCUUUGAAUGAAAUAGCUGACAUAUGUGAAAAACACAAUCUUUGGAUGCACGUUGAUGCAUCAUGGGGAGGCUCAGCUUUACUGUCAAGGAGGCACCGCAAGCUUCUUCAUGGCAUCCACAGAGCCACUUCUGUUGCAUGGAAUCCUCAUAAAAUGCUUAUGGCAGGAAUCCAGUGUUGUGCACUUCUGGUGAAAGAUAGUUCUGACUUGCUUAAGAGAUGCUACUCUGCCAAUGCUUCAUAUCUGUUCCAACAAGAUAAAUUUUAUGACAUCAGCUAUGACACAGGUGAUAAAUCCAUUCAGUGUAGCAGAAGAGCAGAUGCAUUUAAAUUCUGGAUGACAUGGAAAGCUCUGGGGACAACUGGACUUGAGGAGAGAGUAAACAGAGCCCUUGCUUUAGUCAGAUACUUAGUGGAUGAAAUUAAGAAGAGAGAAGGAUUUCAGUUGCUUCUGGAGCUUGAAUUCAGCUUGAUCAGAAUUGCUAUCCAACACAUCAGGGAUCAGAUUGGGAAAGCUGCUAUAAUGUGAAGAGUGGCCAGAAUAUGCAAAUAUUUGUUUCUGGUAUAUUCCACCUAGCCUGAGAAAGAUGGAGAAAGGACAUGAAUUCUGGGAAAAGCUCAGUUGUUGAUCGGUCUCAUUCGAGACAUUGAUGAAUCCGCAUACAGACGGGAGAUUGAACAACUAGUCUCAUGGUGCGACCGGAACAAUCUGGAACUGAACACACUCCAAACCAUCGAAAUGGUGGUAGACUUUAGGAGAAACCCUUCCAUACUUCCACUUCUCACAAUAUUAGACAACAUAGUAUCAACAGUAGAGACCUUCAAAUUUCUAGGUUGUACCAUAUCACAAGAUCUAAAAUGGACAGCUAACAUCAAAAACGUCAUGAAAAAAGGACAACAAAGAAUGUUCUUUCUGCGUCAACUCAGAAAGCUCAAAUUGCCCAAGGAGCUGCUGAUCCAGUUCUACAGAGGAAUUAUUGAGUCUGUCAUCUGCACCUCUAUAACUGUCUGGUUUGGUUCUGCAACCCAACAAGACAGACACAGACUUCAGAGGAUAAUUAGAAUUGCAGAAAAAACAAUUGCUACCAACCUGCCUUCCAUUGAGGACCUGUAUAGUGCACGAGUCAAAAAGAGGGCUGUGAGAAUAUUUACAGACCCCUCACAUCCUGGACAUAAACUGUUUCAACUCCUACCCUCAAAACGACACUACAGAGCACUGCACACCAGAACAACAGGACAUAACAACAGUUUCUUCCCGAACACCAUCACUCUGCUAAACAAAUAAUUCCCUCAACACUGUCAAACUAUUAACUAAAUCUGCACUACUAUUCAUCUUCUCAUCAGGCUGUAACUUUCUUGCUUGUAUCCUUACAAUUUAUAUUGAUAUUGAUUGUUCCUGAUUGCUUAUUUGUAUCCUAUAACUAUCAUUAAGUGUUGUACCUUAGAAUUCUUGAUGAUCUUUUCUUUUAUGAAUACAAAAAGCAUAUGCAUGAAGACAAAUUCCUUGUGUUUCCAAUCGCACUUGGCCAAUAAAAAAUUCUAUUCUAUUCUAUUCUAUUCUAUUCUAUUCUAUUCUAUUCUAUUCUAUUCUAUUCUAUUCUAGUUGCAGAGCUGAGGAAGGCCCUUGGAGAGAUAUAGUUAGGAGGAGUAUCUACCACAUGAAUAGUUGGACUAAAGCAGUGCUUCUCAAUUAUUUUCUGUCAUGCCCCCCUAGGAAGAAGGAAACAUUUUUCGCGCCCCCCCGCGCGACUGUAAACACGGGGCUUAGCUUGUUAUGACAGUGUUUGCCGAGGUCAAACGCGCCCCCCUUUACGGAGCCUCGCACCCCCCCGGGGGGCCCGCCCCACUAUUUGAGAAGCACUGGACUAAAGAAACAGUUCUGCGUAUGCAUGUUCAUACGUUAAAGUAAUCAGCCCAAAAUAUAUAAUGCAGACACUAAACUGCUUCUUUAGCUACAUCAACAAUCAUAUUAGAUGGAGAUAAUUCAACUUUAGAUAAAUUAAGGAUAUUUUUAAGUUGAAGGCGCACAAGAGAUAUGUAACUACCCCACCAACACAUAGUAAUUGGAUUGAAAAUGUUUCUAUGUUUAUGUGUUUUGUCUUAAAGGAAAAAAAUAAAAAAAAAUACCAAAAAAACAAUGAAUUGUGACUUAACCUCUUUGGGACUGGAUGGUAGUCACAGAAAGACUUCUGGAAGUUGUUUUGAAGUUUUGAACAAUAGAAUAAUGUGUACAAGAUGCAUAAAUGUAAUAGUGAGCCAAACAAAAAUGCUUAUCUUGCCUCUAAACAGAGCAUAAACUAAAUACAGCUCAAAAAACUGAUUACUGAAAUAAUCCACAGAAUUCAUAUUAGAGUUCUCAUAUCAACCUAAGCUGAAAGACCAGCCGUUGUAGCCAUCUGUGACUAUAGUAGCAAUGUUUGAUCUAAGAGCUAAUUAUGUGCCUGAUGCUUUAGAGACGAUGCAACUCUCUUUAAAAUAGGAGAAGCACUAGGGCUGUGCAAUUGAAACUGAAAAUUCUGAGUCAAAAGUCAUUUUUAACCAACAUUACUGUAAGUGUUU